rnacentral:tRNA from 1 species
GUGGGUGUAGCCAAGUGGUUAAGGCAACGGGUUGUGGUCCCGUCAUUCGAGGGUUCGAUUCCCUUCAUCCACCCCA